GAUGAACGCUAGCGGCAGGCCUAACACAUGCAAGUCGAGGGAGGAGCUUUCGGGCUUCGACCGGCGUACGGGUGCGUAACGUGUAUACAAUCUGCCUUUCACAUAGGGAUAGCCCGAAGAAAUUUGGAUUAAUACCUAAUGGUAUAUAGAGGUGGCAUCACCUUUAUAUUAAAGCUGAGGCGGUGAAAGAUGAGUAUGCGUUCUAUUAGCUAGUUGGAGAGGUAACGGCUCCCCAAGGCGACGAUAGAUAGGGGUUCUGAGAGGGAUAUCCCCCACACUGGUACUGAGAUACGGACCAGACUCCUACGGGAGGCAGCAGUGAGGAAUAUUGGACAAUGGUCGGAAGACUGAUCCAGCCAUGCCGCGUGCAGGAAGACGGCCUUAUGGGUUGUAAACUGCUUUUGCAGGGGAAGAAUAAGGACUACGCGUAGUUUGAUGACGGUACUCUGCGAAUAAGCAUCGGCUAACUCCGUG
rnacentral:rRNA from 1 species